CCUACGGGAGGCAGCAGUGAGGAAUAUUGGUCAAUGGCCGGAAGGCUGAACCAGCCAUGCCGCGUGAAGGUCAGUGCCCUAUGGGCGUUAAACUUCUUUUGUGCGGGAGCAAUAAUGGUCACGUGUGGCCAGACGAGAGUACCGUACGAAUAAGCAUCGGCUAACUCCGUGGCCGCAGCCGCGGUAAGACGGGGGAUGCAAGCGUUAUCCGGGUUUAUUGGGGUUAAAGGGGGCGUAGGCUGUGAGGUAAGUCAGCGGUGAAAUGCCUCCGCUCAACGGGGUGAAGUGCCAUUGAUACUGGCUUGCUGGAAUGCGGGUGCCGUGGGAGGAAUGUGUGGUGUAGCGGUGAAAUGCAUAGAUAUCACACAGAACACCGAUUGCGAAGGCAGCUCACGAAUCCGCGAUUGACGCUGAUGCACGAAAGCGUGGGUAUCAAACAGGAUUAGAUACCCCAGUAGUC
rnacentral:rRNA from 1 species